CCCGGUAUGGCGCAGCGGUCUUCGGAUCGCGGCGAGAAAGACCCGCAAGGGUUGCCAGAGGACGAGCCUGCGGCCCAUCAGCUAGUUGGCGAGGUAACGGCUCACCAAGGCGAAGACGGGUAGCUGGUCUGAGAGGAUGAUCAGCCACACUGGAACUGAGACACGGUCCAGACUCCUACGGGAGGCAGCAGUGGGGAAUAUUGCGCAAUGGGCGAAAGCCUGACGCAGCCACGCCGCGUGAGCGAUGAAGGCCUUCGGUCGUAAGACUCUGUGGGGAGGAGAAGAAUAAAGACCUGUGAAGAGCAGGCCUUGACGGUAUCUCCUUAGCAAGCACCGGCUAACUCCGUG
rnacentral:rRNA from 1 species